AUUGAACGCUGGCGGCAUGCCUUACACAUGCAAGUCGAACGGCAGCACGGGUGCUUGCACCUGGUGGCGAGUGGCGAACGGGUGAGUAAUACAUCGGAACAUGUCCUGUAGUGGGGGAUAGCCCGGCGAAAGCCGGAUUAAUACCGCAUACGAUCCACGGAUGAAAGCGGGGGACCUUCGGGCCUCGCGCUAUAGGGUUGGCCGAUGGCUGAUUAGCUAGUUGGUGGGGUAAAGGCCUACCAAGGCGACGAUCAGUAGCUGGUCUGAGAGGACGACCAGCCACACUGGGACUGAGACACGGCCCAGACUCCUACGGGAGGCAGCAGUGGGGAAUUUUGGACAAUGGGCGAAAGCCUGAUCCAGCAAUGCCGCGUGUGUGAAGAAGGCCUUCGGGUUGUAAAGCACUUUUGUCCGGAAAGAAAUCCUUGACUCUAAUACAGUCGGGGGAUGACGGUACCGGAAGAAAAAGCACCGGCUAACUACGUG
rnacentral:rRNA from 1 species